rnacentral:lncRNA from 1 species
UGCAAUUCUGAAAAUGCUUUUACUGUCUGUUUCAUUCCAGCUUCUGCCAAAAAUACCUAUGGAUCAUGUUUAAUACACUGUGGUAUGUGCUUAAACCUUGACACAAUGGGGAAAACACUGCAACUUAAUAUUGAAUGAGAUGCUAGGCAUUGAAAAUGGUAAGAGGAGAGGAAUUAGACUCCCAUAUGCAAGAGGAAAGGAAUUAGAACAACCUUCAAAGAGAAGAAUGCUGAAGGAUUUGAAAAUAUAUUUUAAAACCACCAAAACAGCGUCACAGAGGAUACAUUUUUGCACUCCAUAGAGAAUGUGACCUACAGGAUCCACUAGCAAAAGACAUCUGACUGUUAGAGGUUAAAGGAACAGUAAAGAUCCAGUUCCACUUUUUAAACCUGCACACGGGAAAUUUGAAACUUACAGAGUUAAUGGUUUUCUCCAAGGUCACAUGAAGACGGAAGUCAAGCCAAGAUAAAAAUCAAGGAAAAACAGUGACAUGGUGGGAGAAGUGUUCCCAAACUCUGAAUGCAAGGUAAUGUAUAUAACAAAUAAGAAGUUUUGAAGAAAUACCUAAGAAUAAAGUGAACAUGAUUUACGUUAUAUCAUAUAAAAUAGUGGGAAUAAAAAAUAACAAAUUAAUUGUUAAAAUAAGAUAAACCAGUGCGAAAGAAUAUAAAGAGACAUCUGUUAGAAAAAUUAAUAAGAUUUAUAUAAAGAAAUAAAACCGUAAAUAACAAUGGAGGUAGAGGGGCCUAUAAACAGAAGAGGGAAAAAAAUGAGUCAUCUUUCAAAAACCCAGGAGAGAUGGAUUAUUCUGUUAUUUUCUCUUGUUUAUUUGAUUCACCCAAAGUGAUACAUUGCGUCUUACAUAAACUCUUUCAAUUUAACUGUGGACUUGAAUUUAUGCUGUAAGUCUCUCAAUUUUAGUUUGUUUGCUUUCUCUCCUUUUCCUUUUUCUUGCUUCAUUAUUCUUCCUGGAAAAGUUUUUGAGUUAAUCAUAUAAUAAUUUACAGCAUUUGGGGGAUAAAUACAAGAUGUUGAAGCUUCUGAGAUAUUUGUCUUGUUUUCUGUUUAUUUUAUACAUGCUAAUAUUACAUA